UGUCCUGGAUCUCACUCUGUAGACAAGGCUGGCCUCGAACUCACAGAGAUCUGCCUGCCUCUGCCUCCCGAGUGCUGGGAUCAAAGGCGUGCGCCACCACCGCCUGAUUAAUUGCUGGAAUUACCCACAUGAGCUUAAUUUCCACAGCUCUCUAUUUUAUGGGUGACAUGAUUGGCCUGUGUUGGGUCCUGAGGAUGUGAGAAUAAUGGGGACCAGACACCAAAGUCUAUUAACCAGAAGCAAACUUUAUUCCAAACACCACAGGGCACAGAAAACUUGUAGCUAGCUAGGGCCACAGACAGAGUUGGGCUUCUGACAUGGUGACCCUGAGAGGAACUUCCAAGCCUCUUCUUACAGUAAAAUCCAAGCACCAGGUGGUGGGUCACAGGGUUUUACAGUCUUGAGCUUGGGCCUUGAGUCACAUGACAUUCUGAGAGUCUCCAGUUUCGAUUGCAGGGUGUUAGUUCAGGUAUUUGUGAAAGCCUGUGGCUGUCUUGACACAGCUGUCUUCCCUGUAGCUGAAAGGAAUGUAGGGCAGAGGGUCACACAGAGGCAAGUGUUAAAGUGUAACCUUUGUCCACAGCAGCUGUCAGCUCCAAUUUUCCUAGGAUGUGUACAGGCUGUGUACAGUUUUCAUACUCCUGGGCUUUUCAUUCCCCCAUGAGUUUAUAUCAGAAUCUAACACUUGAUUCUUCUGAAUCUGUAUGUGAACCUGAGUCUGAGUUUUCAAUAAUUGUAUAUUAUGAGCACAGAAUCAAGAGUUUCACUGAAGAAAUGCAUUUUUUUUACAAACCUAAUCAGUGUAUUAAUUACACAUGGACCAAUUAUUAAGAGUAUCAAAAGAAUAAGCAAUGGUCCAGUAAUGGAGGGCAAUAGAGUCGUUAGCCAAGGGAACCAAUUAAAGAGCUUAUGGAACCAGGAAAAUGAUCGUUUUCUCUCUCUCUCUGUCUUUCGAGGAGAAUCACUUUGAAGAACGUUUCUAACAACGCCUGAGGGGUUAGCACAGGAACAGCAGGAUUCACCCACGGUGGCACAUAGCCCUCCUUGUGUCGGGAGUGUGCUUGGUAGCGCCCCCAAGAUGGUGUGUUUUGGUGAGAAGGCCGCUCAGUGUGGUGUUCUUUUGGUCCCUCGAGCAGUCUCCUGGCACCUUCACAUAAGGAUUGACACCCCAGGAGGUAGAACCAAGGCUCGGCUCUAGAACACCCUUUCUUGUCUGGAGAUACCAUGUGGGCAUACAGCCAUGGCCUAAAAAACACGGAAGUCCCCCACUAAGCACAAGACAUAAGGGUCUGAUACAAAUUCCACCCCUGUUGACUGUCAUCUUCUCUCUGACUGCUGUUUGCUUGCUGUUUCCCUCUAAAAGAUGGGUAAUCUUUUCAUCACCCCCACCACUUCCCUGUCGGAUAUCUCUAUGAGAUCCAAUGAUGAGACAGGCAGUUUGGGCCCUCGAAAUCUGUCAGUUUGGGCCAUGUGAAAUCUGCCAAGGAGAACAUAGCUGUCAGUUUAGGCCCUGAGACAUCUGUCAAGAAGAAUGUAGCUGUCAGUUUGGGCCCCUCAGAAUCUGUCAAGGAGAAGGCAGCUGUCGUUAAGUCAUGCCCUGCUCCCUGCUCUGUUCCACCAUCGCUGGUGGCUACACCUCCUCUGUGGUAUUUCUGGGAAGAUCUAACCCAGCACCCACCUGCCUCAGGAGGUGGCUACUCUCCCACAGCACCAGGUGUCUUACAACCCUCACAGCCUGUGCCAUUAUCAGUCCAUAGGCCCAUAGAAGCCUUCCCAGUCAAUGUGGGCCCAAAUGCUGAUGCCCAGCCCUGGAUUCCCACCCCAUAGCUGAUCUCUUCCUUAUCCAGAAGGCAGUCAAUGAGUCAGGUCCAGAUUCUCCCUACUUUCAGCAGGUCCUUGCUCAAUGGUCCAUGCAGUUACAAACUUAUUUAGAUUGGUACCAUUUGCUUAAAGCUAUGUUGGAGCCUGCAGUCUAUGAUGAUCAGGCAGAAUCCCAGGCCUGGACAAACAUCUUACCCAUGAUAUGCUCACAGGGCAUGGGGAAUAUGUCCAUCCUGUGCACCAGACACAGAUUAGCUUGGAUGCCUAUUUUUAACAGGUGUUGGACCUGGCCCUCAAGGCCCUAAAAAGGGCUCAGCUAGGCCUACAAGCACUGAGCAUCUCUGCCAAAGAACAUGCCCCUGCCCCUAACGAGAUGGAGAGAUCCUAUCUCCCUCCAAUGGCAAUCACCAGCCUGCCUGCUAACCCAUGGGAGAGGGUAUGCUUGUGUUUUUCCUCAGAGUGCCACUAUGCCAAUAUGGGUCCCAGCAAGAGAUUUGUGCUUGGCCACAGACCAGCCUGCUUCCACCAAGGAGUUACGCAUGCCUGGCUUUCUGAAAUUCGAAAGGCUACUGCUUGACCCUCCCCACCCAGGAUGACCCCCCAGGGAUGGACACUCUUCGAGGGCUGAUAGUCAAUGACAGGCUUCACUCCGUGUGACAGUCAGUUGACUUCCUGUUGCCUCUGAGUCAAGAUGUAGGACUC